rfam:Medicago truncatula strain A17 chromosome 3, whole genome shotgun sequence.
AAAACUUAGGUACAAUUCUUUAGGUGUUUUUCGUAUGGUUUUUAACUAAAAAUAUAUCUUUUUACGAUACAAUAAACUUUGAGAAAAUUAUGGAUUUGAGAAAAUCAUACUAAAUUUAAUUAAGAACUAUACGAAAAGCACCUAAGAAAUUGUACCUAAGUUUU